AAGAAUAAGCCAUGCAUGUCUAAGUAUUAAGCAAUUAUACCGUGAAACUGCGAAUGGCUCAUAAAUCAGUAUCGUUUAUUUGAUAGUACCUUACUACUGGAUAACCGUGGUAAUUCUAGAGCUAAUACAUGCUAAAAACCCCGACUUCGGGAGGGGUGUAUUUAUUAGAUAAAAAACCAAUGCCUUUCGGGGCUCCUUGGUGAAUCAUAAUAACUUAACGGAUCGCAUGGCCUUGCGCCGGCGACGGUUCAUUCAAAUUUCUGCCCUAUCAACUUUCGAUUGUAGGGUAUUGGCCUACAAUGGUAUCAACGGGUAACGGGGAAUUAGGGUUCGAUUCCGGAGAGGGAGCCUGAGAAACGGCUACCACAUCCAAGGAAGGCAGCAGGCGCGCAAAUUACCCAAUCCCGACACGGGGAGGUAGUGACAAUAAAUACUGAUACAGGGCUCUUUUGGGUCUUGUAAUUGGAAUGAGUACAAUUUAAAUCCCUUAACGAGGAACAAUUGGAGGGCAAGUCUGGUGCCAGCAGCCGCGGUAAUUCCAGCUCCAAUAGCGUAUAUUAAAGUUGUUGCAGUUAAAAAGCUCGUAGUUGAACCUUGGGCCUGGCUGGCCGGUCCGCCUCACCGCGUGCACUGGUCCGGCCGGGCCUUUCCUUCUGGAGAACCGCAUGCCCUUCACUGGGUGUGUCGGGGAACCAGGACUUUUACUGUGAAAAAAUUAGAGUGUUCAAAGCAGGCCUUUGCUCGAAUACAUUAGCAUGGAAUAAUAGAAUAGGACGUGCGGUCCUAUUUUGUUGGUUUCUAGGACCGCCGUAAUGAUUAAUAGGGAUAGUCGGGGGCAUCAGUAUUCAAUUGUCAGAGGUGAAAUUCUUGGAUUUAUUGAAGACUAACUACUGCGAAAGCAUUUGCCAAGGAUGUUUUCAUUAAUCAGUGAACGAAAGUCAGGGGAUCGAAGACGAUCAGAUACCGUCGUAGUCUUGACCGUAAACUAUGCCGACUAGGGAUCGGGCGAUGUUAUUAUUUUGACUCGCUCGGCACCUUACGAGAAAUCAAAGUUUUUGGGUC
rnacentral:rRNA from 1 species